UCACAACUUACCAACAUUUGACUUUAAGGAAGAAGAAAUACAUCAAAUCCCCCCUAAACUUGGCUGCAAAACUUACUUUAAUACUUUAACUAUACGGGCAUUCAAAUACCCCCCCUAAACAGGGGCGGACCCACAUAGUCAAUUUUGGGUGCUCGAGCACCCAUUGACUCCGGAAAAUUUUUUGUAUAUAUAUAUAUAUAGAAAAUAUGAUAAAUACGCUAUUAAAGAAAAAAAAGCACCCAUAGAACAAUAGCAGUCGUGGGUGCGCUGGUUAACAAUUGAAAAAUAAUGCGCGCGAAGCAUGAGGGCGAGUGUUCGAAUCCCGUUAGCCC
rnacentral:lncRNA from 1 species